GCACUUCUGACGCGUCCCAAACAGGACGAAACAGCUGUCCAGUGC
rnacentral:hammerhead_ribozyme from 1 species